UUGUAAGAGAGAACUGAAGAUUAGAGUUGGUCGAUAUUGAAAGCGAAGGGGACGUCUGAGCACAAUUAUCUAGAGGAGAUAUUUUAUUUAUGGUGAAGUUAAUGAGGGGUUAAUCCCUUAUUUAAUAGAGAUUCUAAAGUUGGAUGAAGGAGAUGGAGAUAGAAGGACAAAUAUCUUUUAAUUAUUGUAAAAUAUUAUUAUGAAAACGUGGAAAUUUUAUUACUCCUUUCAUUUCAUAUUAGAGUUGGUCGAUAUUUAAAGUGAAGGGGACCUCUUGG
rnacentral:lncRNA from 1 species